AUUGAACGCUGGCGGCAGGCCUAACACAUGCAAGUCGAACGGUAACAGAAAGCAGCUUGCUGCUUUGCUGACGAGUGGCGGACGGGUGAGUAAUGUCUGGGAAACUGCCUGAUGGAGGGGGAUAACUACUGGAAACGGUAGCUAAUACCGCAUAACGUCGCAAGACCAAAGAGGGGGACCUUCGGGCCUCUUGCCAUCGGAUGUGCCCAGAUGGGAUUAGCUAGUAGGUGGGGUAAAGGCUCACCUAGGCGACGAUCCCUAGCUGGUCUGAGAGGAUGACCAGCCACACUGGAACUGAGACACGGUCCAGACUCCUACGGGAGGCAGCAGUGGGGAAUAUUGCACAAUGGGCGCAAGCCUGAUGCAGCCAUGCCGCGUGUGUGAAGAAGGCCUUCGGGUUGUAAAGUACUUUCAGCGGGGAGGAAGGGAGUAAAGUUAAUACCUUUGCUUAUUGACGUUACCCGCAGAAGAAGCACCGGCUAACUCCGUG
rnacentral:rRNA from 1 species